AGCAGUCGCCGCGGUAAUACGUAGGGUGCAAGCGUUAAUCGGAAUUACUGGGCGUAAAGCGUGCGCAGGCGGUUAUAUAAGACAGAUGUGAAAUCCCCGGGCUCAACCUGGGAACUGCAUUUGUGACUGUAUAGCUAGAGUACGGCAGAGGGGGAUGGAAUUCCGCGUGUAGCAGUGAAAUGCGUAGAUAUGCGGAGGAACACCGAUGGCGAAGGCAAUCCCCUGGGCCUGUACUGACGCUCAUGCACGAAAGCGUGGGGAGCAAACAGGAUUAGAUACCCCGGUAGUCCCUGUCUCUUAUAU
rnacentral:rRNA from 1 species